rnacentral:rRNA from 1 species
UGCCUACGGGGCGCAGCAGUGAGGAAUAUUGGUCAAUGGGCGAGAGCCUGAACCAGCCAAGUCGCGUGAGGGAAGACGGUCCUAUGGAUUGUAAACCUCUUUUGUCGGGGAGCAAAGCGAACCACGUGUGGUUCAUUGAGAGUACCCGAAGAAAAAGCAUCGGCUAACUCCGUGCCAGCAGCCGCGGUAAUACGGAGGAUGCGAGCGUUAUCCGGAUUUAUUGGGUUUAAAGGGUGCGCAGGCGGAGGUGCAAGUCAGCGGUCAAAUUGCGGGGCUCAACCCCGUACUGCCGUUGAACCUGCAUC